rnacentral:lncRNA from 1 species
UUGUUAACAGUACAUACAUGGGUCUGUUAGCUCCUUGCUUCUCACUUCUGGAGCUCAAAGUUCUCAUCUUUAUCCUCUGAUUCUCCCCCCUCUGCAUUUUGCCUCUCCAAGCUUCAGUCUUGGACGAAACCCCACUUCCUGAUUAUUCCCUUCCCCGCAAUUUCGGAGUUUAGAUUCAUAAGGUAGUAGAAGUUCAUACUGGGUUCUAUUGAUUUCUGUUAUCAGCCAAGGAAAAAC